CCUACGGGUGGCAGCAGUGAGGAAUAUUGGUCAAUGGUCGCAAGUCUGAACCAGCCAAGCCGCGUGCGGGAAGAAGGUUCUUAGUAUUGUAAACCUCUUUUGUAAGGGAGCAAAGGCUGAUACGCGUACCCGGAUGAGAGUACCUGACGAACAAGGAUCGGCUAACUCCGGGCCAGCAGCCGCGGUAAUACGGAGGAUUCAAGCGUUAUCCGGAUUUAUUGGGUUUAAGGGGUGCGCCGGCGGUCUGAUAAGUCAGCGGUGAAAGCCCGGGGCUAACCCUCGGCAUUGCGUGUGAUACUGUGAGGCUAGAGGGUGGUUGCGGUAGGCGGAAUUUUUGGUGUAGCAGUGAAAUGCUUAGAGAUC
rnacentral:rRNA from 1 species